AGAGUUUGAUCAUGGCUCAGAUUGAACGCUGGCGGCAUGCCUUACACAUGCAAGUCGAACGGCAGCACGGGUGCUUGCACCUGGUGGCGAGUGGCGAACGGGUGAGUAAUACAUCGGAACAUGUCCAGUAAUGGGGGAUAGCCCGGCGAAAGCCGGAUUAAUACCGCAUACGUACGGGGGAAAGCGGGGGAUCGGAAAGA
rnacentral:rRNA from 1 species